CGCGUAGGCGGUCAUGCAAGUCAGGUGUGAAAUCCCCAGGCUUAACCUGGGAACUGCGCUUGAAACUGCAUAGCUUGAGGCCGGGAGAGGAAAGUGGAAUUCCUGGUGUAGCGGUGAAAUGCGUAGAUAUCAGGAGGAACACCGGUGGCGAAGGCGGCUUUCUGGACCGGUUCUGACGCUGAAGCGCGAAAGCGUGGGGAGCAAACG
rnacentral:rRNA from 1 species